AGGUAUGAGGGCGCAGGUUGCGGGGUAAGACGUGGGGGGGAGGCGUGGGUCGGAAGUGGUGGGGGUGAAGGGCGCGUAAGCGACAUGGCUAGUCGGGAGUGACAGCCCGGGGCUCAACCCCGGAACUGCUUGCGAAGUGGCCAAGGUAUAGUGCGGAAGAGGCAACUGGAAGUCCCAGUGUAGCGGUGAAAUGCGUAGAUAUUGGGAAGAACACCGGAGGCGAAGGCGGGUUGCUGGGCCGACACUGACGCUGAGGCGCGAAAGCCAGGGGAGCGAACGGGAUUAGAUACCCGUGUAGUC
rnacentral:rRNA from 1 species